UACGGGGGAUACGAGCGUUGUCCGGAUUUACUGGGUGUAAAGGGCGUGUAGGCGGAGAUGCAAGUCAGAAGUGAAAUGCAGGGGCUUAACCCCUGAACUGCUUUUGAAACUGUAUCCCUUGAGUAUCGGAGAGGCAGGCGGAAUUCCUAGUGUAGCGGUGAAAUGCAUAGAUAUUAGGAGGAACACCAGUGGCGAAGGCGGCCUGCUGGACGACAACUGACGCUGAGGCGCGAAAGCGUGGGGAGCAAAC
rnacentral:rRNA from 1 species